CUUGGAGGAAGAGGACAGCACAACUUGAUAAUGCAGGAUUCGUUCUGGGAAAUCAAAUGACAUGCUGCAGUGUAAUUGUAUUAGUAAUGUAAUAUUGUAAAACACAGAACUCUUCCUAUCAGUUUUGAAUCUCUGAGUUGCUUGAGUCUUGUAGAUAGAGGGCUAAUUGGGAUAGGUGAAACAUUUUAGCUUUCAAAUUGAUUCUUCAUUUACCACCUGGAAAUCGAACACAAUGUUAACAAGAGCAGAAGCAGGUGCUUUGAAUCUGCUCUUUUAUUUUUGAAAAAAAAAGAACAUUAUAACCAAAGCAUAUCAUGUAUUUAGUAUUAUCAUUAUUUUAUUAUUUAUAUAGCGCCAGCAAAUUCCGUAGCGCUGUAAGUAGGAAUAUUUAGUUGCAUUGGUGGAUAUUCGAUUUAAAAAUCUAUAUUUAUUUUGAAUGAUGGUAUGGUUAACCCCAAGCUCUACUGAGAACUCAUUUUUUUUUACAAAUGGCAGAGGUCUUUUUUACUUUAAAAAUUUGUGCUUUAUGUGCACGUCACUACAAUUUUGAAUUGAUUUUAUUGUUUCACAUUGUUAUUUCAAGCAGGAACUACCGUACAAGUGGGUACAAUUAAGAUUGUGUAUUAAGAAAGGAUGUACAUACUUAUCAUCUCAGUCAUUAGGUUAAUGAUUCAUACAAUAAUAACAUAUAAUACAAUACAG